UCUAAUUUUAAUUUUAUAAUUAAAGUAUUAUUAGUUAAGUUCUUUAAAUUUAAAAAUUUUGGCGGUAUUUUAAUCUAUUCAGAGGAAUCUGUUCUAUAAUUGAUAUUCCACGAUUAAUAAUACUUAUUUUAGAAAUUUAUAUAUCAUUGUAGUUUAAAUAUUUUAUAAGAAUUAAUAUUUAAAAUUUAGAAAUUUAAAAUAAAUCAGAUCAAGGUGUAGUUUAUAAAUAAGUAGAAAUGGAUUACAAUAAAAUUAUUUUUGGAUUAAAUUUUUAAAAAAUUUAUUAAAUUGGAUUUGAAAGUAAUUUUUUUUUAAUAUAAAAAUGAUUUAGUUCUAAAAUAUGC
rnacentral:rRNA from 1 species